rnacentral:rRNA from 1 species
UACGUAGGGGGCGAGCGUUGUCCGGAUUCAUUGGGCGUAAAGGGUGCGUAGGCGGCGCGGUAAGUCGGGUGUGAAAUCUUGGAGCUUAACUCCGAAACUGCAUUCGAUACUGCCGUGCUUGAGGACUGGAGAGGAGACUGGAAUUUACGGUGUAGCGGUGAAAUGCGUAGAUAUCGUAAGGAAGACCAGUGGCGAAGGCGGGUCUCUGGACAGUUCCUGACGCUGAGGCACGAAGGUCAGGGGAGCAAACGGG